UCGCAAAUUUUGCAAGGCAACAUAUAUAGUAGAACGGUUACAUGGGUGAGCCCGGGGCCUGAAUGUCUUCGGCAGUUCCUCGAGGCGGACCUGAUUGAUUUCAAUGAUGAUGUUCUCUAGCUUUGGUGGAAAACGUUAGCUCGUUUGUUCGUCCGGCCUUCGGGGGAGAAGUUCCUUCAUUGUGUGGAGGCCAGAUGCUGGUCUGUUGUUGCACAUUGUAUCCGUGGAAUCGUGCAAAAAAAAAGAAGACGCCGAAUUGUAGUAGGCUAGUUAGAAGCAGGGUCGUGGACUUCUAUUUUACAUUUCCCUUUUAAUUUUGAUGCUUUGCCUUUCGGACAUCAUAAAUAAUUGUAUGUUAUCAGACGUUUGUUCUUAAAAGAUCCCUCCGUUUCUUUGGGCGUUCCUUAA